rnacentral:rRNA from 1 species
CGAACGAUGAUGCCCAGCUUGCUGGGUGGAUUAGUGGCGAACGGGUGAGUAACACGUGAGUAACCUGCCCUUGACUCUGGGAUAAGCCUGGGAAACUGGGUCUAAUACCGGAUAUGACCUUCCAUCGCAUGGUGGUUGGUGGAAAGCUUUUGUGGUUUUGGAUGGACUCGCGGCCUAUCAGCUUGUUGGUGAGGUAAUGGCUUACCAAGGCGACGACGGGUAGCCGGCCUGAGAGGGUGACCGGCCACACUGGGACUGAGACACGGCCCAGACUCCUACGGGAGGCAGCAGUGGGGAAUAUUGCACAAUGGGCGCAAGCCUGAUGCAGCGACGCCGCGUGAGGGAUGACGGCCUUCGGGUUGUAAACCUCUUUCAGUAGGGAAGAAGCGUAAGUGACGGUACCUGCAGAAGAAGCGCCGGCUAACUACGUGCCAGCAGCCGCGGUAAUACGUAGGGCGCAAGCGUUAUCCGGAAUUAUUGGGCGUAAAGAGCUCGUAGGCGGUUUGUCGCGUCUGCCGUGAAAGUCCGGGGCUCAACUCCGGAUCUGCGGUGGGUACGGGCAGACUAGAGUGAUGUAGGGGAGACUGGAAUUCCUGGUGUAGCGGUGAAAUGCGCAGAUAUCAGGAGGAACACCGAUGGCGAAGGCAGGUCUCUGGGCAUUAACUGACGCUGAGGAGCGAAAGCAUGGGGAGCGAACAGGAUUAGAUACCCUGGUAGUCCAUGCCGUAAACGUUGGGCACUAGGUGUGGGGGACAUUCCACGUUUUCCGCGCCGUAGCUAACGCAUUAAGUGCCCCGCCUGGGGAGUAC